rnacentral:rRNA from 1 species
GACGUAAGGCGCGAGCGUUGUCCGGAUUUAUUGGGCGUAAAGCGCGCGCAGGCGGUCCUUUAAGUCUGAUGUGAAAGCCCAGCGGCUCAACCGUGGAGGGUCAUUGGAAACUGGGGGACUUGAGUGCAGAAGAGGAAAGCGGAAUUCCACGUGUAGCGGAUGAAAUGCGUAGAGAUGAUGGAGGAACACCAGGUGGUCGA